GCUGGCGUAGCUCAGUUGGCAGAGCAGCUGAUUUGUAAUCAGCAGGUCGUCGGUUCGAAUCCGACCGCCAGCU
rnacentral:tRNA from 2 species